rnacentral:rRNA from 1 species
GACGAACGCUGGCGGCGUGCCUAAUACAUGCAAGUAGAACGCACAGUUUAUACCGUAGCUUGCUACACCAUAGACUGUGAGUUGCGAACGGGUGAGUAACGCGUAGGUAACCUGCCUGGUAGCGGGGGAUAACUAUUGGAAACGAUAGCUAAUACCGCAUAAUAUUAAUUAUUGCAUGAUAAUUAAUUGAAAGGUGCAAUUGCACCACUACCAGAUGGACCUGCGUUGUAUUAGCUAGUAGGUGAGGUAACGGCUCACCUAGGCGACGAUACAUAGCCGACCUGAGGGGGUGAUCGGCCACACUGGGACUGAGACACGGCCCAGACUCCUACGGGAGGCAGCAGUAGGGAAUCUUCGGCAAUGGACGAAAGUCUGACCGAGCAACGCCGGGUGAGGGAAGAAGGGUUUCGGAUCGUAUAGCUCUGUUGUAAGAGAAGAACGGGUGUGAGAGUGGAAAGUUCACACUGUGACGGUAUCUUACCAGAAAGGGACGGCUAACUACGUG